UACGUAGGGUCCAAGCGUUAUCCGGAAUUACUGGGCGUAAAGAGUUGCGUAGGUGGCAUAGUAAGCAGAUAGUGAAAUACCACGGCUCAACCGCGGAAACAUUAUCUGAACUACUAAGCUAGAGAGUAGGAGAGGUAGCUGGAAUUUCUAGUGUAGGAGUGAAAUCCGUAGAUAUUAGAAGGAACACCGAUGGCGUAGGCAGGCUACUAGCCUAUUUCUGACACUAAGGCACGAAAGCGUGGGGAGCGAACGGG
rnacentral:rRNA from 1 species